rnacentral:rRNA from 1 species
UACGAGGGGUGCAAGCGUUGCUCGGAAUUAUUGGGCGUAAAGGGCAGGUAGGUGGUCUCAUUUGUCAGGGGUGAAAGCCUUGGGCUUAACCCAAGAAGUGCCCUUGAAACGGUGAGACUGGAGUCUUGGAGAGGGUCGUGGAAUUCCCAGUGUAGCGGUGAAAUGCGUAGAGAUUGGGAGGAACACCAGCGGCGAAGGCGGCGACCUGGACAAGCACUGACACUCAACUGCGAAAGCGUGGGUAGCAAACAGG